UACGUAGGUGACCAGCGUUGUCCGGAUUUACUGGGCGUAAAGAGCGCGCAGGCGGUCGUUCAAGUCGAGUGUGAAAGCCCCCGGCUCAACUGGGGAGGGUCACUCGAUACUGAUCGACUUGAAGGCAGGAGAGGGAAGCGGAAUUCCCGGUGUAGUGGUGGAAUGCGUAGAUAUCGGGAGGAACACCAGUGGCGAAGGCGGCUCACUGGCCCGAUACUGACGCUGAGGCACGAAAGCGUGGGGAGCAAACAGG
rnacentral:rRNA from 1 species